AGUCAGAUCGAGGGUCUGGGAGGGCUGCAGGGAUCUCUCAGUCGCCAAUGGUUGCAGACAAUCCAGUAAGCCACAGCUGUUACUUGCUGCACUGAACCCUGCCUGCGCUGAGUACCGAAAGCAGGAGGGAAGGUAGCCACAUCUCUUGAGCCCGGCGCUGUCCUAAGCUCCUGACAUCCCCACAGGCCUGAGAAAGGGGCACCACAAACAGGAACCAGGCUGAGACUGAGCCUGUGGACCCUGGUAGCAAGGGCGCCCUCUCUCUAAGAAGCCCUCUGUCAUGCUACCGAUGUUGCAGAACACCUGGGGCGGAGUAGGGAGUGCCAAAGCGCAGGGGAUGAGUGCACAGCAGGGAGACUUCUAUGGUCUGCAGGUGAGCUGAAGGCAGGCCCCUGAGGAGGUGGACAUUUAGGCUGAAUGGAGGACAGGGAGGUAGCAGGACCUGCUGUCUCCAGGACCCCUAAGUUUCUAGGCCAGAGCUGACGGCUGGUGGGUGCAGUCAGCCAGGCUCCAGGGAAGGCUGCUCCAGGCAGGGCUGAGUCUUCACGGUUCAGCUUUUAGAACUGGCCAGGUUGGAAUUCUGGCUGGGGGCAGACAGGGAGGGCAAACCACAAACACUUCUGCCUGAUCUGGCUGGGGAAUCCACAGAGACCACCAGCUGGGACUGGGGUGAGCCUCUCAGAGCCCCUAGCACCAGCCCAAGGCUGCAUGGGCUGACUGUGUGGGCGGAUGCUGCCUAAGUCAUGUGCAGAGCCGUCCUGAGCUGAGGCAGAACUAUAAGACAUGAACUCUGUUUUCAAGACAGGUGACAAUGACAAACAGCAAUAAAAGCCACACACCAUAGCUCAGGAUAACAAGGGCUGAGAUGCGUUUGGACAAUGAGAAGAAAAUAAAAA
rnacentral:lncRNA from 10 species